rnacentral:lncRNA from 1 species
CGGCUCUAUAUUUAUCUCGAUUUUAUAUUUGAUAGCUCGGUCUCGAUUUUGAUCUUUAUCUUGACCUUGACCUUGGAUUUCACCUUGGCUUAAUCUUGAUUUUUACCUCGGCCUUUGGCUUGAUAGCUCGGCUUCAGUUUUGAUCUUCACUUUGGCUUUGUAUUAACCUCGGCUUUGGUUUUAGAUUUUACCUCGGCCUCAAUUUCAAACACUCAUGAAUCUG